GGGUGCGUAACACGUGGGCAAUCUGCCCUCGGAUGGGGGAUAAUCCCCGCGAAAGCGGGGCUAAUACCGCAUGACAUUCCGGAGACUCCGGUCUCUGGACUCAAAGGCCGCAAGGCCGUCUGAGGAGGAGCCCGCGCCCGAUUAGCUUGUUGGCGGGGUAACGGCCCACCAAGGCUAUGAUCGGUAGCCGGUCUGAGAGGAUGGCCGGCCACACUGGAACUGAGACACGGUCCAGACUCCUACGGGAGGCAGCAGUGGGGAAUAUUGCGCAAUGGGCGAAAGCCUGACGCAGCGACGCCGCUGUGGGGGAUGAAGCUUUUCGGAGUGUAAACCCCUUUCGACCCGGACGAACGGCCCGCAAGGGCGUGACGGUACGGGUAUAAGAAGCCCCGGCUAACUACGUGCCAGCCGGCGCGG
rnacentral:rRNA from 1 species